rnacentral:rRNA from 1 species
UACGAAGGGGGCUAGCGUUGUUCGGAUUUACUGGGCGUAAAGCGCACGUAGGCGGUCCGUUAAGUCAGAUGUGAAAGCCCCCGGCUCAACCGGGGAAGUGCAUCUGAAACUGGCGGGCUAGAGUACGAAAGAGGGUCGCGGAAUUCCCGGUGUAGAGGUGAAAUUCGUAGAUAUUAGGAAGAACACCGGUGGCGAAGGCGGCCCACUGGAUCGGUACUGACGCUGAGGUGCGAAAGCGUGGGGAGCAAACAGG